rnacentral:rRNA from 1 species
UACGAAGGGGCUAGCGUUGCUCGGAAUCACUGGGCGUAAAGCGCACGUAGGCGGAUCUUUAAGUCAGGGGUGAAAUCCUGGAGCUCAACUCCAGAACUGCCUUUGAUACUGGGAUCUCGAGUCCGGAAGAGGUGAGUGGAACUCCGAGUGUAGAGGUGAAAUUCGUAGAUAUUCGGAAGAACACCAGUGGCGAAGGCGGCUCACUGGUCCGGUACUGACGCUGAGGUGCGAAAGCGUGGGGAGCAAACAGG